AAUCAACGCUGGCGGCGUGCCUCAGACAUGCAAGUCGAACGCGAAAUUUCCCUUCGGGGAGAAAGUAGAGUGGCGCACGGGUGAGUAACACGUAGGUAAUUUGCCUUUGGGUGGGGAAUAACUCAGGGAAACUUGAGCUAAUACCGCAUAAUGCAGCGGCUCGACAUCGAGACAGUUGUUAAAGCGGGGGAUUGGAGCAAUCCGACCUCGCGCCUAAAGAGAAGCCUGCGGCAGAUUAGCUAGUUGGUAAGGUAAUGGCUUACCAAGGCGACGAUCUGUAACCGGCCUGAGAGGGCGGUCGGUCACACUGACACUGACAUACGGGUCAGACUCCUACGGGAGGCAGCCGAGUCGGGAAUUUUGGGCAAGUGGGCGCAAGCCUCGACCCAGCAACGCCGCGUGAAGGAUGAAAUUUUCGAAU
rnacentral:rRNA from 1 species